UGUAAAAACAUCCUUCAGCAGACAGCUAAGGAGAGGCCAAGAGACCAGGCAGCCAUUUUUCUGCAAUGGAGCGAAAUGGCCAACUGGGCUUUUCCUUUGUUCCAAAAGGGGGAUCCGCCAUGUGAAUCCACACCGUCCACUUGUGCCGAGCGCUCGGGGUGGUGUCAAUGUCUGGCACCACGCUAGAGGACUCACUGAAGAAGGAAGAUUUUAACAAAAAAACCAAACAAACCUUAAAAAAAAAAAAUGCGGAUUUUUUUUUCCCUUAUGAUUCGGGAUCCAUCUUUGUCUUGUGUAACUAGGUCAUGGCACACCCUAUGUCAGCAGUUAACAAUUUCGAAUGCCAAAAAAAAACCACUGCCAUACAAAGAUCCGUAACUAUCUUAACAAGAUCCGCUUUGACUUGCAAACUUACGAGAGAAGUGAUGAUCCAGAUCAUAUGUAUUUAUAGCCGUUAUUUUAAAAAAGCGUUAACAACUUCACCUUCAGAGCUGCAUUCAACUAUGGUGCGCGGGACUAUGAUCUUUGUCUGCAAUUAAUCAUUGUUCAGGACGGCCGUUCCCGAUGGUAGAAUCCAUGAACUGCUCCAGCUGGGAGAGGUCCUAAAGCGUGUGCCUGGCACCGCUUACGUGCAAACCAGGGCCAGAAAUUGCUGGGGCAGCAGGCGUUUUACAGCGAGCCUGCCGUGCGGACCCAGUGAAUUGUGUGGGUCCUCAGCACUUCUGGAAAUUGUUUUUGUAAGUCUGAGCUGAAAAUUUAUUUCCGUUUUUAGAGUUUCUAAAUGACUAUAACGUUCAAUGUAGUUUAAAAGUCACCAAGGCAGUUGAGACCGGUUGCACUCUCAGAGUGGGUGGUUUCAUGGCUGAACCUCGUAUCUGAAAAGCUAAAUGUUCUGGUACAGCGUGUUUAAAUCCCAGAAAGGUCAAACCAGACUUUCAUACUUGAGUUAGAUUGACCCUGGUUUACUGUGUGAGACUCUGUAGAGAAAGAAAGAGAUCUUUCAGGGGAAAGGGAAAAAAAAAAAAAAGAUUUUUUUUCUCUGAACAGCUUGUGGUGACUCUAUGCACAUUCUUGAAGCAAAGGGGGUUGUUCUUGCCCACAGCGUCCCUCCCCUGCAUUGUUGAGUGGAAAACUCUUAUGCUAAUUAUUUCACUGUCUGUUAUCAAUAAGAAGUGAUUUAAUUUCUUUGGCAAAGUGUUGCAACAAGAGCAAAUUAGAUUGAGAGGCAAAGUGAAAUAAAAAAUAUGCAGCUGUUCUGCCAAACAAUGAUCGUGACUGUUUACAACAUUUUGUUUUAGACUGGCUUGUACACAGAAUCCUUUAUAUUGAAGAUUUUCAUGUUACAAUCCACUGCUUGUGCAAGGAAACUAGAUUAAUAGAUUAUAAAGGACAAAAGAGACCUAGGUUCAUCUGGUUCGACUUCCUGCAUAAUGCAGGUCAUAAGAUUUUUGUGAAUUUGUUGCUUUUUCUCAUUUGAAAGAAUUUAACUGCAGCAUACCUGCAUCUUAGAAAAACAUCAGAUUUUCAUUUUAAAAUGGGCCGUGAGAGAGAGUAAAACAAGAGUUAGUAAAUUGUUUCCAUCAAAAUCUACCUGACAGACUAGAAAUCAAAAUACCUUUUUAAACUUGCCUAGUUUCUGCUUUCAGUUUCUGGAUGUUGCUGUGUCUCAGUCUGCUUGACGGAGGAAUGCUCCCUUACCAGAUUUCUGUCCCCUUGUAGCUGUGUACAGGCUGAUCAACUGAACAUUUAACACUCCCAUUGCAGACUUGCAGAGCUCCCCCUUGGGUCCAUCUUUACUAAUCCUGUAAUCGUUCCUGUCGCAGUUCCCUGUGAACACUCCAGUUUUUCACCAUUUUGAUCUGGGGGGACGGAGCGAUCAGCGGUGAUCGUACCCGUGCCAACAGCCCUCCUGGCUGAGAUGUAUCUGUUAGGCAUCCAGGGAUUACACCAGCCCAUGUUCAGCUGGUUUGCCAGCGUGGCUCCUCUCAGAUCUGCUCCUCCUUGGGAUGGCAUCGCCGUCCCAUUGGUUUGUGCUCUUUGUUCUUUAUCUAUGACUUUACACUUGGCCCUCUUGAGAAGGCGAAGUCCUUAGACAGCGUUGUUGCUUGCAAUGCGCUUUUUUUUUUUCUUCAUACCCCCUCCUGCUACUGUUGAGUGUCACCUACAAACUUGAUUGGCGAUGAUUUGAUACUUUUUUCCAGAUAAACAACUGCUUUUGUCUCCACUGUAGGAGUUUCCUGGUUCAGGUGUGUGUACACCUCAGCUGUGUCAAUACUGUGUCAGGAGGAGGUCUGUAUGUGCACCAUCCUCUUGCCACACCCCAGUUUAAUGAAGAAAGCCCAGCUUAGGAGCUGGAAGGGAGCCAGGAGGCGCACUGCAACAUUUGCCUGCCCUGGUGUCUAUAAGGUAGCCAUUAAAUAAUGUAGGGCCCAAAACAGGUAGUUGCAGGACCCAUAAAAGAAAGAUGACAGCUGUAGGACGCAGUGGUUACAACUGCAUUUUGAGACCUUCCUGUUAGAUGGAUUCUAAUCCAUUUGAGAUUGCCUUCUUGCUCUUACAUUCUCCUACUCAUAAUCAUGUAAAUGUUUCACAGGGGUUGAAGUAUGGCACGUCAGCCCUCUUGCAGAAAUCUCCUACUAGUGCUAUUACCAUUUACCACCAAACCUUGCAAUUUCUUAAAACAGUUUCUCUCUCAGCAGCUAAGCUCAUGAAGUUUUGUCUCCCAUGGAUUUGUGUCUAUAAAUGCCCCCUGACAGAUCUUCCAGCUCUUUCCCAGUCUUGCUUGCCCUGUCUGGCUGAGCAAGGGGUGAUGUGCUGGCUGGGAGCUCCACAGGGGCCAACCAGGCAGCGGUACUGCCCCUUGGUAUGGGCAAGGGCUGCCUUCUGCCUGCCUUUCCCCGAGACCAAGGUGGUGCCUCUACUACAUACUCUACUCAGCUGUUCAUUCAAGACCUAAAUACGUUUGGGACGACUUCCCCACUGCCAAAUUUGAUUGAGAUUGGAGGAAGGAGAGGGAAAAUGACACAGAACAACACAGACACAUUAGACUGUUUUAUUUUUAGGAAACCAGGCUAAGAAUAUCAAAGGAAUAUUGAGUAGGAAUAUGGACAGGGUAUUUGCCUGUUCCGUUGUUUUGCUGUGAAAUUUUUCAUUUCUUCCUAAGAACAGCAGUUGAUCCGUCUAGGGAAUUUCUCAGCCAAAAUAAGCAAUCUCCUGACAGAUUUCACCUGUGUCCCGACAUGCUCUGAGGAUGCAUGGGAUGUAAGCAUUGAACAAUGACAGGGAAUCACUAAUCUGCUGUGUUGUUUGGCUGCCUGGGUGCAAAGAAAUGUAUGGUGAUACCCAAUAGUAGAACAAACAUUUAUUUUGUUUAAGAUCCAUACAACUUUUGAUUGACAUGUUGGAUAUUUGCCAGGGCUAGGUUUUUUGGUUCUUUUUAAACUGUAUCUGUUAAUUUUAUUUCUGCCACCUCUGUAAGACAGGUAGUGAGUGCUUUCAGAGAUCUAAUCAUUCUUGAGCUAUAAAGGAAUAAAGAAGCUGU